rnacentral:RNase_P_RNA from 1 species
CCAGGGGGCCGGGCAGCUGCGUUGCUAGCAAUAGUACCGAGGAAAGUCCGGGCUCCACGAAACAAGGGUGGCGGGUAACGCCCGCCGCAGGAAACUGUAGGGAUAGUGCCACAGAGAGCAGACCGCUUCGUUUCGGCGAAGUAAGGGUGAAAGGGUGCGGUAAGAGCGCACCGCGCGGCUGGUAACAGCGGCGGCAUGGUAAACCCCACCCGGAGCAAGGCCAAAUAGGGGCGGCGCGCCAAAGGCUUUGGCCUGAAGCAGAUGCGUUUCGUAUCGACCGCCCGGGUUGGCUGCUUGAGCUGCGGAGCAAUCCGUAGCCUAGAGGAAUGGCUGCCCUCGCAGAUCGGGUCCCUUCGGGGAAACCACCUGCGAGACAGAACCCGGCUUACAGGCCCCCUGGCACU